GACUUCGUAGCAGAUAGCUCAGUAACACGUGGCCAAACUACCCUAUGGAUCCGAAUAACCUCGGGAAACUGAGGCUAAUGCGGAAUAGCGUUCAUCGCCUGGAGUGGCACGAACGCGAAACGUUACGGCGCCAUAGGAUGUGGCUGCGGCCGAUUAGGUAGACGGUGGGGUAACGGCCCACCGUGCCCAUAAUCGGUACGGGUUGUGAGAGCAAGAGCCCGGAGACGGUAUCUGAGACAAGAUACCGGGCCCUACGGGGCGCAGCAGGCGCGAAACCUUUACACUGCACGCGAGUGCGAUAAGGGGACUCCGAGUGCGAGGGCAUAUAGUCCUCGCUUUUCACGACCGUAAGGUGGUCGUAGAAUAAGUGCUGGGCAAGACCGGUGCCAGCCGCCGCGGUAAUACCGGCAGCACGAGUGAUGACCGCUAUUAUUGGGCCUAAAGCGUCCGUAGCUGGCCACGCAAGUCUAUCGGGAAAUCCGCGCGCUUAACGCGCGGGCGUCCGGUGGAAACUGCGUGGCUUGGGACCGGAAGACCAGAGGGGUACGUCCGGGGUAGGAGUGAAAUCCCGUAAUCCUGGACGGACCACCGGUGGCGAAA
rnacentral:rRNA from 1 species